rnacentral:lncRNA from 1 species
CAUAUUAAUUUGGCCGUAGCAUGUAUUUAUAAUACAUGUCUCCUAACUAGAGUCUAAUUCUAAUUCAAUUAGAAAUUAGAUUCCGACUCAUAAUUCAUAUAUGCCAAAUUAAAUCUAAAUUAUAUCCAAUCCCAAUUAGAUUAGAAUUUAACUCCAAUUUAGAUAACUACAAAUCUAAACCAAAUAUAACAUGAUCACUCUUUAAAUUCUUAUUUGGUCGUACUGUAAGGUGUAGUGUUACGUAAACAUGCACUAUCUAAAUAGCGCUGUUGGAAGAAACACUCAAAAAUAGAAGAAUUACAUCGGAUAUUCAGCUUUAGAAACUUCAAAUUUCAUUUCUACUUUCC